rnacentral:rRNA from 1 species
CGACGGCCUUUCGGGUUGUAAACCUCUUUUAGCAGGGAAGAAGCGAAAGUGACGGUACCUGCAGAAAAAGCGCCGGCUAACUACGUGCCAGCAGCCGCGGUAAUACGUAGGGCGCAAGCGUUAUCCGGAAUUAUUGGGCGUAAAGAGCUCGUAGGCGGUUUGUCGCGUCUGCUGUGAAAUCCCGAGGCUCAACCUCGGGUCUGCAGUGGGUACGGGCAGACUAGAGUGCGGUAGGGGAGAUUGGAAUUCCUGGUGUAGCGGUGGAAUGCGCAGAUAUCAGGAGGAACACCGAUGGCGAAGGCAGAUCUCUGGGCCGUAACUGACGCUGAGGAGCGAAAGGGUGGGGAGCAAACAGGCUUAGAUACCCUGGUAGUCCACCCCGUAAACGUUGGGAACUAGUUGUGGGGUCCAUUCCACGGAUUCCGUGACGCAGCUAACGCAUUAAGUUCCCCGCCUGGGGAGUACGGCCGCAAGGCUAAAACUCAAAGGAAUUGACGGGGACCCGCACAAGCGGCGGAGCAUGCGGAUUAAUUCGAUGCAACGCGAAGAACCUUACCAAGGCUUGACAUAUACGAGAACGGGCCAGAAAUGGUCAACUCUUUGGACACUCGUAAACAGGUGGUGCAUGGUUGUCGUCAGCUCGUGUCGUGAGAUGUUGGGUUAAGUCCCGCAACGAGCGCAACCCUCGUUCUAUGUUGCCAGCACGUAAUGGUGGGAACUCAUGGGAUACUGCCGGGGUCAACUCGGAGGAAGGUGGGGAUGACGUCAAAUCAUCAUGCCCCUUAUGUCUUGGGCUUCACGCAUGCUACAAUGGCCGGUACAAAGGGCUGCAAUACCGUAAGGUGGAGCGAAUCCCAAAAAGCCGGUCCCAGUUCGGAUUGAGGUCUGCAACUCGACCUCAUGAAGUCGGAGUCGCUAGUAAUCGCAGAUCAGCAACGCUGCGGUGAAUACGUUCCCGGGUCUUGUACACACCGCCCGUCAAGNCAUGAAAGUCGGUAACACCUGAAGCCGGUGGCCCAACCC